AGCAUUUAGAGUUCCUAUAAAAAUUAACAUAAUCAGUUGACGUUCAACAAUUUCGAUAUAAGUCAAGGUUGCAAUACCACCGUGGUGCAAAUAUAGAUAACCUGUAGAAUGUUCAUGGCUACCAUAGAGGAUUUUAAUUCAUACGAGUUUUGGUAAAAUACAAUUUAUUUCUUUCAUGUCCUACUUAUCAAAAUGAUACGCCACUGGAAUAACCGGAAUAGACUGUGGGAAUCGAGAAUAGAAUAGUUUCCACUCUUGAAUCAACUUCAGGAGUACUUCUACUUCACUGUCCAUCGAAGAGCAGCCAUCAAGUUUAUUAACAUCAUAACAAUUAUAUUUGUAGAUCAUUCAAUAUACAGGUUCUUAACUGGAAACAUUGUUUUGACGUGGUGACGAAUUUGAAAUGACCCGAACGCAUUGAAGAUCAGACCGCUGAACGCCACGAAAGAAAACAAAUAAAACGACAUAUGCAAUCCCACAGAAUUAUUUAAUUCUUGGUAGAUAAACAACGAGAGACUAGCAAAAGUAACAUAGACACCAUCAG